AUCACCCUGAUGUCUGCCUGAAUAACCCUUGGCUACCCCGAGCACGUCCCGUGCUACCCCCCCUAACCAAGUUCGCCGUUACUGUCCACAUAGCAUCCGCUUCCCCAGAACUUCUCCAAGCUCCGCCCUAAACUAACCUCCUUUCCAACUCCUGUGCUUUCUCCUUAGUUAAAGCACCCCAUCUAAUCCGCGGUUGUCCCCGAGCGCCCCUCCUCUUCCUCUUCACCCAGAGANNN
rnacentral:lncRNA from 1 species